CUAAUGAACCUAAUGAGAUUACAGAGACUAAGGUAAUGUUUGGAUGCCUCUGAAUGAGGUCUCCUCAUAGAGUGGAAGCAUGCUCAUUGGCAAUAUUUGGACUCCUGGGCUCUAUAAAACACACAGAUAUACAUAAAAUUACUGCAGAAGAACAUGGAGAUGGUAGACAUGUACAGGCAUGUGACCUGAGAGGAUGGUUUAGAGACCCUAUUCUUAAACACCAGAUCUUUUGGAGAUUUUUGGAUUCUACUCCUUAGAGAAAAAACUGAAUAGUCCAUCUAUUUCCUGCCCAGUGUCUUGCUUGAAGACCAGUCUGUUAGUUAUUUGGAUGCUUUUGCUGAUAACUGGAUGUAAAGAGGGUUGUGUACUUAGAAAAUUAAAUACUCAAGUGGAUCUGUGAUCUCAUCCAUCUAAACAUUCCCUCCAGUGAUGCAGAAGACAACCUGGCCAUGCCUGCUUAUCCUGUGUGACCACCAUCUCUAUCUCUCUAUAAGUUUCCCCAAAGGAGACCGCCCAAUAUGCUGGAGGCCAUCCUCAAUUUCUCCUGACAACUUUUGCAACUUUAUUUUGAAGUUUGAGCUUAAUGUAUUACCACAUCAAACUCUUCAUGUGUAUGAAUAUAAGAGCACACGUGAGUAUGUUUAA
rnacentral:lncRNA from 1 species